UUUCUGAAGCUCUCGCCGACAUUGUAAGUUCACAAUCUCCAGGGCACUAGCUCUUAUUUUUACAUAACAGGGUACUAGCUCUCAUGACACGGUGCUGUAAGUUACUGAUUAUGUGCGACUAAUCAUCUCCGCCUAAAUCAAUAAAGGGAUGAAUAUGUGCGACUAAAAGGGAUGAUUCGACGACACCAAGUUUGCAAUAAUCUCUCUGAGUAAAUUAUAUUCUGAACUUAGCCAGUCUAGGACAUAUCUAAUACAAUUUGCUGAUUUAGAUGAUUUCUACAUAUUGCAUAUUGUUGAUUUAGAUAAUUUCUACAAUGUCACUGAAUUUUACAACCCGUGUGAGGUUUAGAUCUCACUUUUCUGCAACCAUAAUAUGUGCACUUGUUUGCUUACAUACAAAAAAACACAUGUCUGAAAGGAUAUGGAGAAAAAAUGGAACAAAAUAUUUUGAUCUACGAGCUAAAGCUGUAUGUGCUGCUUGCUUCAAAAUCAAGGACAUAAUCCUGUGUGAAUUUGUAAUUCACAUUCUGUUGUUCCGUAGCAAGCAAGCUCUGUUCCUCCUCUGGAUUACCAUCUGCUUGAGCCCACGGGUGGUGGUGGUAUCUCCUCAGCAUCUCCAACCUCUCUGCAACCUCCUUCAUCGUUGGCCGCUCUUCCCCACUCAUGUUCAAGCAUCUCAUAACUAGGUGUGUGAUCUCUUCAAGCGCUUCGAUUCUCACCUCGUCCCUCACUUGGCUGUCCAGAAGGUCUUGGUGCUGGCCUACCUUCACUGCCAUCAUGAAGCAUAAAACAAGGCUUCUAUCUUCCUCCGGUCCGUCGAAGUACAAUGCCUUCUUCCUUGUCAGAAGCUCCAAUAGGACAACACCAAAGCUGUACACAUCACUCUUAUCAGUCAGCCGGCAUGUCAUUAGGUAUUCUGGGUCAAGGUAACCGCAAGUGCCCUGCACCAAUGUUGCCAUCUUGGCUUCAUCAGUUGGUGCUAGUUUUGAUGCUCCGAAAUCUGAAACUUUUGCUGUAAGCUUGUCAUCCAACAGAAUGUUUGCCGUCUUGACGUCUCCAUGGAGAAUCGGCGGCGAGGCUGAAGAGUGCAUAUAUGCCAAUGCCUCGGCUGACUCUACUGCUAUCCGAAGGCAGGUGUGGAAUCCUGUAUCAGAGUCAAGGCCCCUACUACCAUGGAUGUACUGGUAGAGUGUACCGUUCGAGACGAACUCAUAGACCAACAUGGGCACUUCUACUUCGAGGCAACAUCCGAGCAGCUUGACGACAUUCUUGUGGUUGAUCUGGGAGAGGAUGAACAUCUCCCUUGCGAAUUCCUUGGUCGGGACUUCUUCCGUCAUCUUUGACUUCUUGAUCGCCACCACUGUCUUGUCCUCAAGGUCACCCUUGUAGACGAUGCCGUGCCCACCGCGGCCGAGAAUACGGUCGGCUGCAAAGUUUUUGGUCGCUUUCUCCAGCUCUUCCUUGGAGAAGAUCUUGAACCCACCAGUGCCUGUGCUGGUGCCAUUGUAGUUACUUAUCUGCUGCUGCAGGAAGAGGCCUCCAUUUAGCUCGAAGAACAUUUGCUUUGUUCUGAUAAGCUUCCUCUUCUGGAGCCCCAAGUAGAGCCAGAAGCACAUGAACAAAGGCAAGAACACUCCAACGCUGACUCCUGAAUACGACAUAGCAUUAUCAACUUAUCAUUAGCUUUCCGAAGUACAAUUGCAGGGACAACAGUGAAAUUGCAAGAGCAACGCAUUUGCCAAAUUAUCUGUUUACCUGUAACUAGUUUCAGUGCUAACGUGAAAUUGUCCUUCGGCCGGCAACCAGUCUUUGUUGUGGCAUCUCCCCUAGUCCCUGGCGGGCAUUGGCAAGUGUGGCUUCCCAGAGUAUUUGCACAGACACCAUAGCAUGAUUGCUCUUCUUUGUGUUUGCACUCGUUGAUGUCUUCCAUUUUGGCAAAACAAGUCAUCAGAUGAAGGAGCAGGAAAUGAAACAGGAAAACAGGACAGCAGUGUAUACCUCUGCAUCCAUCUUGUAGAUAGGGGUUGCCCUCGUAGCCCUUGGAGCAGUUGCAGUGGUACCCAAUGCCAUUCUUGGAGUCGACACAAUCGCUGAGCGCGCUCUGGCACGCGUAGUCAGUUGUGUUGCGCUUGGCGGCGCUGCAGUUGCCGACGUUUCUGACUGCCCAGUCGAGGAUGACGGGCACAGCGAAGUUGUUGGUCCGGUUGAGGUACUCACUGUUACCAGUCAGUGUUGUAGUUAACCACUUGGUCUCCGCCAGGAACACAUACCGGCAGGUCGUGCUGUUGCUAUAGGAGACUAUGCCUUUGUUUGUCUGCUCCUUUGUGAAGUCGAGCACGUAUGGCUCGUAGUAGUCGAUAGCGGGGGGUAUCGUGCUCUGGUAGCAGGCCACGCCUGUGCAGGACCCCAACUCAAUGAACUGUUGCGGCCCGCACACGGCCAUGCACCCACUGACGUAGUAGCCGGCGAUGUCGACGAAGUAGCCGAGGUUGGAGCAACCAAGCGCAACAAGGCGGUUCCUGGUCUGGGAGAAGAGGUAGUGGCUGCCAAUGAGUGGUACGGACGUGUCGCCGCUCCUGCCGGUGAUGCGCCCCUUGCUGUCAUAGCAUCGGCGUGUUGCUCUGAGGAGGGCCCUGGCCUCGCCGGCGAUGAUGGACAGGCUGGUUAUGCGGAUCCCAUUGCCAGCCACGGUGAGCCGCGGUGUUGAGCGUGAGUCAUUGCACUCGAGCUCGAAGCCACCUCGACCGUCGUUGCGGAAGCAGCCGGCGCCGAUGCCAAAGGGGUAGGGGAUGGUGAUGUUGCCGCACUUGUCACGGCAGCCAGGCCGCACAACCUGCUGCUGCUCCUGAGCUGAGACUCGAGUCACUGGCAGUAGUAACAGCAACAUGAGCUGCAUGACCAGUGUGGUCGCCAUUCUUGCUCUGCUGGUCUACUCAGAGACCGCUGAGGAAGUGGGAAGUGUCAGUUGCUGAAGAAUCAUGGAAGUCCAUAUAUGCGCACGGAUGCUGAAGAAUCUGUUCACUAGCUAGGACUGGGUCAAUUGCCCAUCACUAGUUGAUGAUGUUCUGUUAUGCUUUAUGUAGAGUGCUGACGGUGACGACAGCGACUGGAGCUUCGCCAUUUAGCCAAUGGAAGAACUUGUUUAACCAGGCAGCUCUUGGCAGAGCCAUACAUGUCGCCAAAUGUAAGUACAAAGAGUUUCUGAUGGUUAUUCUGAAAUUUUGGCAUGUAUGCCUACCUGAAAAGAGAACUUUAGGCCUGUUAAUGCUAGUGGACACUAAAGUGGUAAAUUGCACCGCCGGCAAUCAUUGGCUCUUUCAUUGUCCAUGUAAUUUAGUUGACCAAGCUUACUACGGCCACCUGAUCCAAUCCAGCGCGUGAGACAUAACUGGGGACAAAAACUAGCAUCGCCGUUUAGUUUGUUGUGAGAAUAUUUUCUGUUGGAACUUCUUCUUUUGAGAAUCUUCCUUUUUUCAGUAUCUUCAUUGUACAGAAUAUUUUUCGGUACGCUGCCUGUAAAGAGAACCACAAGUGUAAGUAAUGCCGCACAAUCAAUUAACCUUUUUUUUUACUGCAAUCACUUAACCUUUUGGUAAGAAGAAUAUUUGUUCCAUAAACUUCAUGUUUCUUUUUACUGAUCUGGACAGGAAUAAUGAACACGGACCCCUACCUGUCAGCAAGCAGAACUAUUAUGCCCCUAGUCUCUGAUCCCGUAGAGGAGCUACUCUUCUUUACACUCACCACCUCUAUUCAUGGCAGUGACGAACCUUUCUGCCUGCCAGCCAGAGGCAAAGCAGUCUAGCCUUUAAUGGAGCGUUGGUGCCCAAGCUCCCCGUCUCUGGUAAAUCAAAGCUGCACGGAUCAACUGGCGGAGGCUAUCUUAAUUUAUAUGCAUUUUCUGGUGGCUCUUCGAGCAAAUCGUGCAUCUUGCACACAGGCUCGACAAUGGUUGCAGG
rnacentral:lncRNA from 1 species